ACAUCCAGCGAAUUCGGUAGAGAUACCUUAGUGCCUUCGGGAACGCUGAGACAGGUGCUGCAUGGCUGUCGUCAGCUCGUGUUGUGAAAUGUUGGGUUAAGUCCCGCAACGAGCGCAACCCUUAUCCUUUGUUGCCAGCGGUCCGGCCGGGAACUCAAAGGAGACUGCCAGUGAUAAACUGGAGGAAGGUGGGGAUGACGUCAAGUCAUCAUGGCCCUUACGAGUAGGGCUACACACGUGCUACAAUGGCGCAUACAAAGAGAAGCGACCUCGCGAGAGCAAGCGGACCUCAUAAAGUGCGUCGUAGUCCGGAUUGGAGUCUGCAACUCGACUCCAUGAAGUCGGAAUCGCUAGUAAUCGUAGAUCAGAAUGCUACGGUGAAUACGUUCCCGGGCCUUGUACACACCGCCCGUCACACCAUGGGAGUGGGUUGCAAAAGAAGUAGGUAGCUUAACCUUCGGGAGGGCGCUUACCACUUUGUGAUUCAUGACUGGGGUGAAGUCGUAACAAGGUAGGCGUAGAUGA
rnacentral:rRNA from 1 species